rnacentral:rRNA from 1 species
GUGGGGAAUAUUGGACAAUGGGCGAAAGCCUGAUCCAGCCAUGCCGCGUGUGUGAAGAAGGUCUUCGGAUUGUAAAGCACUUUAAGUUGGGAGGAAGGGCAGUAAGUUAAUACCUUGCUGUUUUGACGUUACCGACAGAAUAAGCACCGGCUAACUUCGUGCCAGCAGCCGCGGUAAUACGAAGGGUGCAAGCGUUAAUCGGAAUUACUGGGCGUAAAGCGCGCGUAGGUGGUUUUGUAAGUUGGAGGUGAAAUCCCGGGCUCAACCUGGGAACUGCCUCCAAAACUGCAUGACUAGAGUACGGUAGAGGGUAGUGGAAUUUCCUGUGUAGCGGUGAAAUGCGUAGAUAUAGGAAGGAACACCAGUGGCGAAGGCGACUACCUGGACUGAUACUGACACUGAGGUGCGAAAGCGUGGGGAGCAAACAGGAUUAGAAACCCCUGUAGUCC